CCCCGCCGGCCUGACAGCGCCGGGCGGCUGUUGCCCCCCGUGGCCGAGGCUGGCGGCGAGUAGAGCUCGGCGCCCCGCGGGGCCGACGGCGGAGCGCAGCCGGGGACGCGGCGGUGCUCGCCCGACCCGGACCCGGACCCGGACCCGGACCCGCUGCGCCCACGGGCGCCGAGCGGCCUCUCCGCCUGCCCGCGGGCCGGCAGUAAUGCACGCCCUCUGCGAAACUCCGGCGGUGGCAAAGGCGAGGAGAAGGAGUUAGCUGGCCUGAGGAGAUGCUGUAGCUGUUCUGCUGCUGCCCGCGGGCUUCGCGCCAGCUGCCCCGCCGUCCGGGGACCGCGGUGGGCGGCAGCCCGGGGUCAGAGGGGCUAAAGGACGAGCAAGAGCCGGCCCUGGCGGAGCCUGGCGUUUGUAGAAAGAAUGUCAGCAGCUUUUUAUUAAUGAAGCACUACUUGUUAUGGCCAAUGUGCACAUGAAAUGGAAAGGAAACAGAUUCCAGAAAACAGCUUCUGUUUCAACCUUGCAAGAUGCAGCACGAAGUGGUGAGUACAUACAUGGACUGGGAACUAUCUUGGCAUUGUUUUUGAACAACUAGAUAAGAAAAAAACAUUUG
rnacentral:lncRNA from 1 species